UGCGUAGGGUGCGAGCGUUAAUCGGAAUUACUGGGCGUAAAGCGUGCGCAGGCGGUUUUGUAAGCCAGAUGUGAAAUCCCCGGGCUUAACCUGGGAAUGGCAUUUGGGACUGCAAGGCUUGAGUGCGGCAGAGGAGACUGGAAUUCCUGGUGUAGCAGUGAAAUGCGUAGAUAUCAGGAGGAAUACCGAUGGCGAAGGCAGGUCUCUGGGCUGAUACUGACGCUCAUGCACGAAAGCGUGGGGAGCAAACAGG
rnacentral:rRNA from 1 species